rnacentral:misc_RNA from 1 species
GCCCCUGAAUCUGCAACUGCUUUUAUCAGCUCCUCAACUUUAGCUUCCUCAGUUUUUGCAUAGUUUUGUAGCUCCUCAGCGGUGUGAAUUAAUACUGUUCCUUUUGUUUCCGUAGCAGAUGUAUCAACGCCACCAGCAAAUACAGCAACCUUGGCCUUCUCAAUCCGCUUUAUAGUUCCCACAGCAUCACUUUUCAAGACCAUGCCACGCACUACUGAAGAAUUA